CAGACUGAGAGGCCAGCUGCCUACCAGGACAGGAGCUCUUUGGAGAAAGGACUGGAGGAAGUGGUGAGAAAAGACUAAAACAUGAAUAAUCUUGUGAGUGAACAGGAGGUAACAGAGAGAGGUGUUUAUAAUGAGGUUGUUUCCCUCCUGGCACAUAUGGCUGACCAAGAUAAGGACAGAAUUGCCCUCAGGAUUGCCUCUAUAGCUAAGACCAACCUGGCUAGUGUUGUGAGAGAUCUGCUGGAGAAACUGCAACAGGCUGAGUGACACCAGUGAGCUGUGGAGGUCUCUGGGGGGAGACUCCUUGCUUGCCACUCAAGUCCUACAGGUCCUAAUAGAAAAAAUAAAGACUUCAACAAGCCAAGAAGGAAGCGUCACCUCAGAGACUGAACCUGACAGGCAUUUGGCAGCUGCUGAACCUCUCUCAGCAACAUGUGCCAUCUGAGGUGGUGUCAGCACUGCAGUCAAGCAAAGCUGUGCGGGAGCUGCUCCCAGAGUUGUUUUCUGUUCUCCUGCAGCAGGUCAGCCGAAUCUUAGGACAAAAGAUGCCUUUGCCAGUGAUAAGCAGCUAGAAGCUAUUCCAAAAAGACCGACAACAUACUGAGGACAACCCUUGCCGGUUUUCUGUCCAAGCAUUAGAAUCUGUGCUUUUCAAAGUUGGGAAUGAGAGACUGGUAAGAGUGCUUGGGAAGCAGAAAACAUGGAUUCUGCUUGAAAACCCCCAGACUCACCAUGAGGGAGUGUGUCUGCCGGUGAGUGUUCUGCUAAGAUCUGGACUAGUAACACCUGAGAUCAUCCAGAGCCUCCUCCCUUGGGUGAAUUCCCCAAUGGAAAACUUCCGAGUCACCAGCACAGCUUUCCUUGCCCAGCUAAUGAGUGAUCCCAUGCUCAGGGAGAAGAAGUUGCUUAAAUCUGUCUUACACCUCUUGGAAGAAAGAUCACAGGAUAGGAACAGCAUUGUCCGUCAGAUGGCUGUAAGAGGCCUGGGAAAUAUAGUUGAUGGGGCGCCUGUGAAGGUGAAAAAGUACAAGAAGUUUCUUCUGGACAUACUGAUUGGGGCCUUACAUGACAUUUUCAGUUCUGAAGUCAUUGGCGAGAGUAUGAAAGCACUGGCCAAAGUCCUGAAGGAGCUGAAAGAAAAGGACAUCGGUUCUUCCUUCAGAGACCUCACCCAACAGAUCCGGACCUACUUGGACGAUGUAUGUGAACAGAACUCUCCAACCCCAGUUCAACCGAUCUUGAUUAUACUCGAUUUACGAUGUGUGAUGUGGACUCCCUGGGCAUUGCUCAUGUCAGAGUGCAGAGAUUUUAGGCCCCAGGGAAGGGAGGCAUUUUAUGGAGGAGGAGAACAUUAGGAGGAUGGGGAUGACAUGUAGGAACGUUACAUUUCCUAAGCGCUAAGGGGGUUGGAAUGCCGCCCCUGGAUUUAGAGCAGCUGAAAUGGUUCCCACCCCCCCCACACACACUUCCGGUCAGGAGGUACAUAGAUUAAGCGCUGAUAAGGUGUGUAUUUCUGGAGUACAUAGUGCAAAAGCACCAACCAGGAAAGGGGGCGAGAUGUUGGCUUCAGUUUGUACAUGCGUAUAAUAGCAUGAUUUAUAUAACCACUUAUAAUAAAUAGACGUGGACAGCCCCGUUGGGGGCGGCUCCACGGAAACAGAC